rnacentral:rRNA from 1 species
AAUAAUGCAGUCGAGCGAAAGACGAGGAGCUUGCUCCUCUGACGUUAGCGGCGGACGGGUGAGUAACACGUGGAUAACCUACCUAUAAGACUGGGAUAACUUCGGGAAACCGGAGCUAAUACCGGAUAAUAUAUUGAACCGCAUGGUUCAAUAGUGAAAGACGGUUUUGCUGUCACUUAUAGAUGGAUCCGCGCCGCAUUAGCUAGUUGGUAAGGUAACGGCUUACCAAGGCAACGAUGCGUAGCCGACCUGAGAGGGUGAUCGGCCACACUGGAACUGAGACACGGUCCAGACUCCUACGGGAGGCAGCAGUAGGGAAUCUUCCGCAAUGGGCGAAAGCCUGACGGAGCAACGCCGCGUGAGUGAUGAAGGUCUUCGGAUCGUAAAACUCUGUUAUUAGGGAAGAACAAAUGUGUAAGUAACUAUGCACGUCUUGACGGUACCUAAUCAGAAAGCCACGGCUAACUACGUGCCAGCAGCCGCGGUAAUACGUAGGUGGCAAGCGUUAUCCGGAAUUAUUGGGCGUAAAGCGCGCGUAGGCGGUUUUUUAAGUCUGAUGUGAAAGCCCACGGCUCAACCGUGGAGGGUCAUUGGAAACUGGAAAACUUGAGUGCAGAAGAAGAAAGUGGAAUUCCAUGUGUAGCGGUGAAAUGCGCAGAGAUAUGGAGGAACACCAGUGGCGAAGGCGACUUUCUGGUCUGUAACUGACGCUGAUGUGCGAAAGCGUGGGGAUCAAACAGGAUUAGAUACCCUGGUAGUCCACGCCGUAAACGAUGAGUGCUAAGUGUUAGGGGGGUUCCGCCCCCUAGUGCUGCAGCUAACGCAUUAAGCACUCCGCCUGGGGAGUACGACCGC